UACGUAGGGGGCUAGCGUUGUCCGGAAUCAUUGGGCGUAAAGCGCGCGUAGGCGGCCCGGUAAGUCCGUUGUGAAAGUCAAAGGCUCAACCUUUGAAUGCCGAUGGAUACUGCCGGGCUAGAGUCCGGAAGAGGCGAGUGGAAUUCCUGGUGUAGCGGUGGAAUGCGCAGAUAUCAGGAGGAACACCCAUAGCGAAGGCAGGUCUCUGGGCCACUACUGACGCUGAGAAGCGAAAGCGUGGGGAGCGAACAGG
rnacentral:rRNA from 1 species